rnacentral:rRNA from 1 species
AACGAACGCUGGCGGCAUGCCUAACACAUGCAAGUCGAACGAGACCUUCGGGUCUAGUGGCGCACGGGUGCGUAACACGUGGGAAUUUGCCUCGGGGUAUGGAAUAACUCAGGGAAACUUGAGCUAAUACCAUAUAAUGUCUUCGGACCAAAGAUUUAUCGCCCUGAGAUAAGCCCGCGUAGGAUUAGCUAGUUGGUGGGGUAAAGGCUCACCAAGGCGACGAUCCUUAGCUGGUCUGAGAGGAUGAUCAGCCACACUGGGACUGAGACACGGCCCAGACUCCUACGGGAGGCAGCAGUGGGGAAUUUUGGACAAUGGGCGCAAGCCUGAUCCGGCAAUGCCGCGUGCAGGAUGAA